AUGUCGGAGGCUUCGAGAUCGCAGAGGAGACAUGAGAAGGAGUCAGCGGAGGAUCUUCUGGCAAGGCUUACGCUGCAGGAGGAGGAAGAAGAUGAUUUCAUCUGGGAGGAAGAGCUGCCGGACAUGCUGGAGCCGGCGAAGUGGCUUGCCAUCGUUCGAGUCCACACACCGAAGUCUUUCAGCCCUAAUGCUCUGUACAAUGACAUGAGGGCGGCCUGGAAUCCAGCAAAAACAGUGGACUGGAGGAAAAUCAAGGGAAAUUUGUUUACGACACAGUUUGGUUGCUUGGGCGAUUGGAAUAAGGCUAUGGCCGAGGGACCGUGGCUGUUCAGAGAUCAGGCGGUGAUUAUGCAGGAGUAUGAUGGGUUUAAGAACCCCGUGUGGGCGCAGAUUCAUCGCCUGUCGGACAGGUUCCUUAUCGAACCGGCGGUAAAGGGUUUGGCUUCCAGGAUCGGGGAGGUGGAAGAGGUUCAGCUAAAACUUCCUGCUGGUUUCUUUGGGGAGUUUGUGAGGGUCAAGGUGAAGAUUGACAUCAACUCCAAAAUCAAACAUUUCGUUACAGCCAAGAAGGGAGAAGAGAGAGUCAAAUAUCAGAUCAAGUAUGAAAAGCUUCCAACCUUUUGCUACAAUUGUGGUGAGUUUGGUCACUAG
rnacentral:rRNA from 1 species